GUCUGCUUGAAGAUAUAAGAAGUCUAGCCUGCUCUCUGAAAAUUUUAAGGGCCGCGGUAAUCUGACCGUGCAAAGGUAGCAUAAUAGUUAGUUUUUUAAUUGGAAUCUUGUAUGAAUGGUUGGACAAAAGAAAUACUGUCUCUAUAAUUCUCUUUGAAUUUAACUUUUGAGUGAAAAGGCUUAAAUGUUUUAAAAAGACGAUAAGACCCUAUAAAGCUUUAUAAGAAAUUUAUAUUUAGUUAAAAUAGAAAGAUAAAAUCUUAACAUAAAUUCUUAUUUUAUUGGGGAGAUAAAAUUAUAAUUUAAUGUAACUGAGUUAAAAAAAAACAAAGGUUGGUGUUUACAAAAAUUAAAAGAUCCUCUCUAGGGAUUCUAAGUUUAAGUUACUUUAGGGAUAACAGCGUUAUCUUUCUUGAGAGUUCUUAUCGAAAGAAAGGAUUGCGACCUCGAUGUUGAAUUAAAAUUUCUAAACUAUUGCAGAAGUAGUUUUAGAAGGUCUGUUCGACCUUUAAAUUUUUACAUGAUUUGAGUUCAGACCGGCGUGAGCCAGG
rnacentral:rRNA from 1 species